UACGAAGGGGGCGAGCGUUGUUCGGAGUUACUGGGCGUAAAGGGCGCGUAGGCGGCGAUCCAAGUUAGGCGUGAAAGCCCCGGGCUUAACCUGGGAAUUGCGCUUAAGACUGGACUGCUUGAGUGCGGGAGAGGUGAGUGGAAUUCCCAGUGUAGAGGUGAAAUUCGUAGAUAUUGGGAAGAACACCGGUGGCGAAGGCGCUCAUCUGGCCCAAUACUGACGCUGAGGCGCGAAAGCUAGGGGAGCAAACGGG
rnacentral:rRNA from 1 species